AGAACAUCAGAUGGAUGGUGCCUGCAAUGUCAAUUAGAAAUAAUAGACCCAUUAUUACUCACCUUAAUGGAAGACUAUGAUCUAGUUAUCAUCAUAACCAGCUCAUUUUAAGGAUCUAAUAAUUUAAAGGAUUUCAUCAAUUUAGAGAAGAGAGAAGAGAAGAAAAAAUCAAUCAGUAGACCAUAAUCCUCCCACUGACUUCACCAAGUCACUAAAUCGGGUUAGGUCAUGCUGAUUAAACUAGCACCU
rnacentral:lncRNA from 1 species